GAGAGGAUUGGAGUGGCUAAA
rnacentral:miRNA from 1 species